rnacentral:rRNA from 1 species
GACCUUACCAGGGCUUGACAUGGUCAGGAAUCCGGCGGAAACGUCGGCGGCCCGCAAGGGACCUGAUCACAGGUGUUGCAUGGCUGUCGUCAGCUCGUGUCGUGAGAUGUUGGGUUAAGUCCCGCAACGAGCGCAACCCUUGUUCGCUGUUGCCAUCAGGUAAUGCUGGGCACUCUGCGAAGACUGCCGGUGAUAAACCGGAGGAAGGUGGGGAUGACGUCAAGUCAGCAUGGCCUUUAUGUCUGGGGCUACACACGUGCUACAAUGGCCGGUACAAACCGUCGCGAUCCCGCGAGGGGGAGCUAAUCGGAGAAAGCCGGUCUCAGUUCGGAUUGCAGGCUGCAACUCGCCUGCAUGAAGUUGGAAUCGCUAGUAAUCGCGGAUCAGCACGCCGCGGUGAAUACGUUCCCGGGCCUUGUACACACCG